rnacentral:tRNA from 1 species
GGUGGCUCAGUGGUAAAGUACUUGCCUUGCAUGCAUGAGGACCUGGGUUCGAUUCCUCAGCACCA